GUGACAGUGAUACCCACAUUUAGUGAGGUCAGGGUGGGGUCCUUAUGCAGCCAUCUGCUUCCUGGGCAAUCCCAAUUUCCUUUUUAUUUAAAUGCUUUGUUUUUCUACAACCACAUUAUAGAAAUGAGUUCUUAACAUGCAAUAGCACAUACUGUUUUACAACUCUGCUUAAUUUAAAUGGUGAUUUUGACACAUUUGGUUUGGAUUGGAAGACAUAGCCUGAACCUAAAUUCUGUUUCCUUGACUUAUUUUGAUGAUUCAAACAUGCAGUACAAGGUAUGAAAUGUUUACUGAAAAAUAUCUAGGUUCGUAUAUGUGUUCACUGGGUAGAUUCCAAACAAGAGGAUGAAGAAUGUGAGCAAUGCCUUGUUUUAGAAAAGAAUCAACAAUAUAUGAGUGUAUAUGAACAUGACAAAAGCGCAUAUGCAAUGUGAUCCAUGUAUCUGCAGGACCAGUACACAUGAUUUCAUCUAUCUACAUCUGACAAAAUAUGUAGUCUGUAGGCAUUGUCUAGAUCCCACAGCAUGACUCUUUGGUAUAUAUUAGGCUUGUGCAAACAUUUCAGAAGUUUUGGAAGACGUAUUAAAAUUUAUUAAAUCUGUAUUUCUGAUAUGAUAUUGAUCAUGUGGACAUGUUCUGCACCUAAAACCUAAGAAUCAAAAUGUACCCAAUCCUUUUUUGUUUUAAUUUUGUAAUGCUCAGAAGCCUCCCAAAGUCAGUUUUAUAUUCAUAGCAAGCAGCCAAAAAGGCUCCCAUUCCUCUUUAAAUUAAUGGCCUCUCACCAUUAGGAGAGAAAAAGCAGGGAGAAUGCAGAAUUCGUUGGGAAAGAACUCUGGAAAAUGUAGUUUGGGAAGGCAAGGAACCCUUUGCCAGAAAACUCAAAAUGUCCUGCCCUAAACUACAUUUCCCAGAAUUCAGCUUGCAUCAGAAAGCUCCAAUCAGUAUAAGAGACGAGAUUUGUCCCUCCCUAGCAGUAGCCAGCCACAGUUGCAAUCUGCAAAGAGGAGGACUGGCUGAUACUUCUAAUUCAGAUCAGAAAGCGAACACUGCAAGAUCUAACUAAAUAUGGCUUAAAGGAGAACCAUCUCAUAAAAUAUGAAAAUCCCAGGAAACAAAAACAAAUACUCAUUAGAAAACCAUAUGGUACUUGCUGUUUGUUGGAGGCUUUUUUAAAAGCUUAAUUCUACUUACAAGCUUAUAAUUUGAGGCGACCCGGCACUUCCCAAAUCUGUACUGAUGUUACAUUUGGGAAACUGUUUUUAUUUGUAAAGCUGGAACCCUAAAAUGAUAUUUCUACUUGUAUGUGUUAAUCUAUUGAGCUAGGAGCCUACAAUGUAGAUGAAUAUAUCGAUGAGAGAGGAAAAGUAUAUAGCCCAUUCCAAUAACAUAUUGACAACAUUGUCUUGUCUUAAAUAAGACAAUGUUGCCUGCCCUGGUUUUCAUUGUUUUCUCCGAUUUGGGUUGUAAUAUAUAUACGAUGAUUUUGCACUGUUAUAUUGUGUUAUGAUUUGCUGUUUAUUUUGUUAUAUUGUAUGGUGUCUGGGCAUGGCCCCAUGUAAGCCGCCCCGAGUCCCCAUAGGGGAGAUGGUGGCGGGGUAUAAAUAAAGUUUUAUUAUUAUUAUUAUUAUUAUUAUUAUUAUUAUUAUUAUUAUUAUUAUUAAAUAGAAUAUAUUCUAAAUUAGGAGCUGACUGCUGCUGCAUAAAAGUAACAAACAGGAAAUCUGGCUGCUUCAUUAUAAGUAAACUGACUAAUUGGAAACCAGUACAAAGGACAUCAAUAAUUUCAUAAGCAUUAAAAACUGUCAGACUUUUUUUAUUUCUAAAUACAACACAAUCCAGUUGAAGGUAAGCACCUGUCUGCAUAAACCUUCGCAUGUUUACUCAUAAGUGGCACUUCAGCUGAAGUCUUAAACAUGCCUACAAAUAUGUAAGCUCAAUUGAGUAAGAUCCAAGUAGAAAUUCACUUGAACCGUGGGAAUUUUCCAUUCUCUUUGUAACUCUAUCUGCCCCUAUAACUUCUACAAGUGCUUUCCCGACUAUCUGGACCAGAGUUUCUUUCCGGGCUCUUUUAGAAGGGAGACCAUUCCUUUACACUACAUUGACAGAAGCUGGAAGAUUUAAUUGAGUAUCACUCAAUUAAGUUAAGCACUUUUGUCAUGCCGCUUAAGUGCUUAACCCAGUGAAACUUAUGCACUAGUAAAUUUACACAGGACUACACCUUUUUAACUGCCAUGUGGAUUCAGUGAGAGUUUAAGGCUUCAGCUCUGUGCUUGUUAUGUCCCAGUAAGCUUAGUAAGACUGAUUUAUGACUAGGUCCAUAGAGGACUUCUAAGCACACACCUCGCUCUCACUGAUCUCAGAAGUGUACACAUUAAAACAACAUAUACAUCUGACUGGAUUAUGCCCAUAGUUCAGUGAAAAUAUAGACAUUGAAGGUUAUCCCCAAAUUUAUGCUCACUUUUGUCUCUUGUAAGAUGGGCUUUUUUCCUAGUGGUUUUCAUCUCAGAAGGACCCAAACUGGUAACUGCUCCUCUCAAAUGCCUUUUUGAAC
ensembl:lncRNA